UUUAUCAGAAGACAUAUUACUACUGGAACAAUAUUAGCAUGGCCCCUGUGUAAGGAGGGCACACAAAAUCAUGUAACAUUUCACUUGUCU
rnacentral:snRNA from 14 species